AUUCCAGCUCCAAUAGCGUAUAUUAAAGUUGUUGCAGUUAAAACGCUCGUAGUCGGAUUUCGGGGCGGGCCGACCGGUCUGCCGAUGGGUAUGCACUGGCCGGCGCGUCCUUCCACCCGGAGACCGCGCCUACUCUUAACUGAGCGGGCGCGGGAGACGGGUCUUUUACUUUGAAAAAAUCAGAGUGUUUCAAGCAGGCAGUCGCUCUUGCAUGGAUUAGCAUGGGAUAAUGAAAUAGGACUCUGGUGCUAUUUUGUUGGUUUCGAACACCGGAGUAAUGAUUAACAGGGACAGUCAGGGGCACUCGUAUUCCGCCGAGAGAGGUGAAAUUCUCAGACCAGCGGAAGACGAACCACUGCGAAAGCAUUUGCCAGGGAUGUUUUCAUUA
rnacentral:rRNA from 1 species